rnacentral:rRNA from 1 species
GACGAACGCUGGCGGCGUGCUUAACACAUGCAAGUCGAACGGAAAGGCCCUGCUUGCAGGGUACUCGAGUGGCGAACGGGUGAGUAACACGUGGGUGAUCUGCCCUGCACUUCGGGAUAAGCCUGGGAAACUGGGUCUAAUACCGGAUAGGAGCCAUUUUUAGUGUGAUGGUUGGAAAGUUUUUUCGGUGUAGGAUGAGCUCGCGGCCUAUCAGCUUGUUGGUGGGGUAAUGGCCUACCAAGGCGGCGACGGGUAGCCGGCCUGAGAGGGUGGACGGCCACAUUGGGACUGAGAUACAGCCCAGACUCCUACGGGAGGCAGCAGUGGGGAAUAUUGCACAAUGGGCGCAAGCCUGAUGCAGCGACGCCGCGUGGGGGAUGACGGCCUUCGGGUUGUAAACUCCUUUCGCUAGGGACGAAGCUUUUUGUGACGGUACCUAGAGAAGAAGCACCGGCUAACUACGUG